rnacentral:rRNA from 1 species
UGGGGAAUUUUGGACAAUGGGGGAAACCCUGAUCCAGCCAUCCCGCGUGUAUGAUGAAGGCCUUCGGGUUGUAAAGUACUUUUGGCAGAGAAGAAAAGGUAUCCCCUAAUACGGGAUACUGCUGACGGUAUCUGCAGAAUAAGCACCGGCUAACUACGUGCCAGCAGCCGCGGUAAUACGUAGGGUGCAAGCGUUAAUCGGAAUUACUGGGCGUAAAGCGUGUGUAGGCGGUUCGGAAAGAAAGAUGUGAAAUCCCAGGGCUCAACCUUGGAACUGCAUUUUUAACUGCCGAGCUAGAGUAUGUCAGAGGGGGGUAGAAUUCCACGUGUAGCAGUGAAAUGCGUAGAUAUGUGGAGGAAUACCGAUGGCGAAGGCAGCCCCCUGGGAUAAUACUGACGCUCAGACACGAAAGCGUGGGGAGCAAACAGG